rnacentral:rRNA from 1 species
AUUGAACGCUGGCGGCAUGCCUAACACAUGCAAGUCGAACGAGUGGCGGACGGGUGAGUAAUAUCUGGGAAACUGCCCGAUGGAGGGGGAUAACUACUGGAAACGGUAGCUAAUACCGCAUACCAUCGGAUCUGCCCAUAUCGGAUUAGCUAGUAGGUGGGGUAACGGCUCACCUAGGCGACGAUCCCUAGCUGGUUUGAGAGGAUGACCAGCCACACUGGGACUGAGACACGGCCCAGACUCCUACGGGAGGCAGCAGUGGGGAAUAUUGGACAAUGGGGGAAACCCUGAUGCAGCCAUCCCGCGUGUAUGAUGAAGGCCUUCGGGUUGUAAAGUACUUUUGGCGAGGAGGCGUUACCCGCAGAAGAAGCACCGGCUAACUCCGUGCCAGCAGCCGCGGUAAUAC